ACAAGUGGAGACAUAUGAAGUAUCACUUCUAAGUAAAGAAUGCCUUGAAGUCAUUGAGGCAGAUAGUUACUGGUGUCUUUCAAAAUUGUUGGAUGGAAUCCAGGAGAACUAUACAUUUGCACAGCCUGGUAUUCAAAGGAAAAUAAACACACUCAAGGAUCUCAUGAAACGUAUUGAUGCACCCUUACAUAAACACUUAGAGUGUCACACAGUGGAAUAUUUACAGUUUUCAUUUCGAUGGAUGAAUAAUCUGCUGAUGAGAGAGCUUCCAUUAAGAUGUACCAUUAGAUUGUGGGAUACAUACUUGUCAGAAUCUGAUGGUUUCUCAACUUUUCACCUGUAUGUGUGUGCUGCCUUUUUAAAACAUUGGUCAAAAGAUCUUCUGACUGAAAAGGACUUUCAGGUAAG